UGAGUAACCUGCCCUAGGCUUUGGGAUAAACCCUCGGAAACGGGGGCUAAUACUGGAUAUUCCCGCGGGAUCGCAUGGUUUUGUGGGGAAAGGUUUUCCGGCUUGGGAUGGGCUCGCGGCCUAUCAGCUUGUUGGUGGGGUGAUGGCCUACCAAGGCGACGACGGGUAGCCGGCCUGAGAGGGCGACCGGCCACACUGGGACUGAGACACGGCCCAGACUCCUACGGGAGGCAG
rnacentral:rRNA from 1 species